CCAACGGCCCCUUUUCAGGGCCACAGAAAAUUCCACUCAAAAGUUGAU
rfam:Aedes albopictus isolate Foshan contig160863, whole genome shotgun sequence.